CUUUUGUCCCCUCUUUCAAGUUACUAAGGGUUAUCUUAAAUCGUUACUUCUUUGUAACCAUUACAUAUAGGCCACAGCAGAAUCUUUGUAACAAUGUAGUUGACUUCUUUACAUAAUAGCUUAAUUAAAAACCUCAUUGUUUUUUCUUUGAGAGGUUAUUCCUGCCGUGCAGGGAGUAAGAACAGCAGAUGUUCUCUCUCUUUCACAGCUCAGGGGUUCCGGGUAUAAAGGAUGAGAUAAAUGUCUUAGAGAAAAUAGCUUCUUUUUCUGGAGGAAUAAUAAGUACCUUAGUCAGUCUUCUGUUGUGACAAAACACCAUGACCAAGGUGACUUAUAGAAGGAGUUUGUUUUGGCUUAUGGUUCUAAAAGCAAAUGCUAACCAUCAAACCCCGAGACUGAGCAAAGUUCAGAGAAAAGAAAAAUGGAUCUGAACCCUGGCCAACAUUGAGGGAGGAGCCUCCGCAGCCAAAAGAAUCAGCAGCCGUCGUAAGGGUACAACAACAUAGAGAGGUCAAGCUGGGAGCUUGUUUUAUUUAAUAAAACUGUGAUAGAAAAA